GGAAGGAGUUCUGGAUAACCAGCAGGAGGCCGGCCCUGGAGGGCUCUGCUCUAGAUGAAGAAUUGAAUUUUCCCAAAUCUCUUUGUAUUCACUGGAAAUAUGGACGGAAGGGAAACACAAAGCCGAUGGUGAAGUUGGACAGCCAGUUGAGACAUCCGGCGACGGUGUAGGCAGACGGCCGGUGAGACUGCUUGAAGAGCUCUGCAGUGAUCAGGAAAGGCACGCCGGCUGCAGAAAGGAAACCACUGUUAGCUUGUUUUAUAUUAUCGCUCCUAUUCUCAACUAAUCCACAUUAAGAUAAUUAAAGUUAUGGGUUUGAUGCAGCUCGCCAUCUGGCCAGAGUGUAAAUCACAUUUAAUUACCUGCUGCUGUGGUGAGAUAAACAGCAGCAGCUUCAUUCAUCAGUUAGCUUAGCCACGCUGCUGCUCACCGGCCCUCAUUCACAAUGAAUGGAGGAGGAAACAAGCAGAGGAGCUAUAAAGCUGCUCCUCCGUUUUCAAGUAUUUCAUUACGACUUUGGUAUUAAUCACAAACUGAUGAGAGGAGGAGGAGUUUUGUCUGAGGGGGGGGGGCGGACCUGCAGACACCCCCCACCCCCCCCACAGCGCUUUGACCGUCAGGUUCUGCUCUCAUUCCUCAUUGUUAGAAGUGAAUGAUGUGAAGGAGAAAUAUGCAUUAGCAAAAGCUGCAAUGAUCCGCUCUCAGAAUGAUGUGCUCAUUAUCUGUGCUCGCUAACUGCAGACAGGAAGGCUAAUAUUGUCAGACCAAUAAGUGGGCCAUAAUUUGUCAACAUGGGCGUCAGCGUGAAAGCAAGUUUCAUCUGAAGGAAACCGUAUUCAUCACGGCAGACUAAUGAACAAUGAGCCAUUACCAGGGGAGCAGAAAUCCUCGUCCACGCGCUCCGGUAAAGAUUUUAUAGCUGCCAUAUUGACAAAAAAACACAUGCAAGUGAAUUUAUCAUCCUUGCAGGCUUGUGUCAUAAAGCAUCACAUCCUAAUUCUCCUCUCCUGCUAUGGGCAUGGGUGCAGAUUUCUGAAUAAAGAUCAAGAUGAGGGCUCUGCAGUUGGAGGAGCGUCCAGCAGGGAGCAGUGUGAUCUCAAAUACUAGACUGUUCAGAGGUGGAACAAGCCUUACCUGGACCUAUGCAGAAGCCAGCAAUGAUCCCGAUGACGCAGCCCACACUGAUGUAGCUCAUGAAGGGAAGCUGCGCCUGCCAACAAGUUUUAAAGUUAUUCACUGAGACAAGACCACACUGGGAGAAUCAAACACUUCUCCAACUGCUACAGAAAAGUUAAAGCCUGGUCUUUGAGGAGAGGGCGUAUACCUGGUGGAGGACGGACACAGUGAUCCCUGCACAACAGACGCCCAUGAAGAGGAAGCCGCCGAUGAUCAGAGGUCUCCGGCCCACGCGCUCAAUGGUGAAGCACUGAAGGAUGGGAGCUGUGUGAGCGCAAUGACAGGGAUGGGUGGGGUGUGUCUGGUGUUCACUCACCCCCAGCAUCCCUGCGAUGACCUCAAUGGCGCCGGUCCCCACUGUUGUGUACUGAAUGUGAGGCUCUGGGAUCCCAGCGUUCCUGAAAAUGUCAUUUGUGUAGAACCAGAUCUGGAAUCACAGAGACGUAGACCAUGAAGGAAGGAGGUGUCUUGGUGUGUUUCAUGUUCUUCAUCAAGUAAAGUCCCAGGUGUGUCUUUAAUGCAAACUUUCACCAUGAAGCUGCAGACACACCAGGCAUGUGACGCACAUUUAAAAACGCACUUUUAGUCCAAAGUAUUCACACUGGACAAGCUGGGAGGGGCUACUUGUUUUUUUCUACAUUUUACCAGCGUAUAUCCACCAACUACAGUUAGUAUUAUGAAAUAUUAUAUGAAAUACAUCAUUCCGGCUGAGCAUGAACUGCAAUUAUGUAUUUCUCCUUCAUGCUUCCAUGCACUUCCAUGCAUUAAAAGGGAUUCCAUUCAUACGUCACGACCAAAUCCAAGUCAAGAUUAACUUUUAACACAUGUUCAAUGGGCACGUGUUUUGAAGCACUUACAUAGACUUUACAUUAGCAGUACUUGCUGCAACAUGUGUUACUAGGGCCGGUCCUGGGCAUAGGUUACUUAGGGCGCCAUCUGCUGGAGGGGGUGCCAAAUCCCAAUGAUUAUGAAUUAAUGUUUUUUUUAUUAUUAUUACACACAACUUAUUUAAUAUAUAAAUGAAAAAGUAAUUAAAAAAUGUAAAUGAAAUAACAUGGUGUGGCUCCAUACUGUGCUUUGAAAUCUGUUUGACAUGGUGGUGCGGUGAUUAAGGCUCUUGCCAACAAGUGCAAAGUUCAGUGGUUUAACUCCCCUUUCACCCAGGGCCGAGCCUGAGUCUUACGAAGGGUGAACGUAGCCUGAUUCUCUCAUGUAUCAUCUGAAGUUCGGGCUACUCCGCUAACCGAAUACUUCAUCACCACAGCAGAGACGACCUCGUGCAUCACAGCAGAGGAUGAGCUCCUCCCUGCAUACUGUUUCAGAUGCAUUUCACCGGUUUCCUUUGCUAUUUUAGAAGAAGUCUUUUGUUAGAACAUCAGACAGUGAACCUGAAGAGCAUUUCUAAAACUUUCUGGAGCUGGACUCUGAAACAUGUGCAGGAUUUAUCAGGCUUGUGCGCACACGAGCAGCUUGGAAACCACAGGGGCGUGCUUCAGAGGAAGAUAAACGAGUCAGCCGAGCAUGUGGAGCCUAAAGCCACAGACUCCAGAGCCAUGAAGGUCGCUCUCUUUUAACCUGUCGGGAUCAUCAAGGUAAUUUAUGUUAAGUUUAGAGCUUCAGAGUAAAGUGGAUACACAAAAAUGCCUGCAUUGCUUUUCCAGAUUAUGUUCUUUCAGGGAAAUGCAGCCGAGAGAACCUCACAAACCUGUUGAGCUGCUCUGAAUGUUAGAAACAACAGUGUUUACUCUGGUCACACUGCAGCUUACAAGAACUUAAAUAACAGAAGUUUGUUUAUUUAAAUGUAUUUAAAAAGCCAAAUCACUUUUUUACUUUUAUGACAUAUUUAAGAAAGUUUGAAAAUAAUGUUUGCCAGGAUGAUGUGUUUUUAUCAAUGAAGUCAAAGUGAUCGCUCCAGCAUCUUGUUUUGUUUUUGAUGUGAAACAGUCAGAAACAUCAGUUUGUUGUGAUCUGUCAUUUCUGCCACUAGAUGUCGCUAAACCUCAAACGUCUCAAUUAAACUGUUUUUCUAAUCAGCUCACCAGAUUAUGAGGAUUGCAGCUGCUCAUGAGCCAGCAGUCAUUGAUGUCAAAAUAUUUUUAGGAUUUAGAAAAAAAUCCUAGAAAUGUCAAGUUGUUGACCUGAAAGUACUUAUAAUUUCAUAAAAAAAACUAUCCAAUCUGCCUAUCAAUCUGAUUGUUUUAUCCAUUAAUUUGUGCCCCUUUGCAUUUUCAAUAAAACUAAAGCAGCUUUUCCAAAAUAUCUGACAUCAAACAUGGAUGUGGUGGUAGGUUAGUGGUUUGGACCUGUUUGUGAGAGUCAGAACAUGUAAUGGAAUCAGGAAGUAACCCUAAAGGAGAAUGUCUUCCAUCAAUUCAUGAGCUCAACUUCAAUGCAACAUGUCAAGAGAGGACCAGAGAACCAUCUGGGAUGACACCCACCAAACAGAGCAACAGGUCCAUCUAGAGCAAGUCCAGCUAACAGACUACUUCCAAACCAGGCAAACGAUCACCAAAGCAAGCGGCAGGUCCAGCAAUCAGAGCACCAAAAAAGAAAAAAAAA